GAUCAUGGCUUAGGAUGAACGCUGGCGGCGCGACUUAAGACAUGCAAGUCGAACGGAACUUAGUUGAAUGUUUACAUGAGACGAAGUUUAGUGGCGGACGGGUGAGUAACACGUGAGCAACCUGCCUUCAAGACUGGGACAACAGAGGGAAACUUCUGCUAAUACCGGAUAUGACCACAGUAUCGCAUGAUACAGGGGUGAAAGGAGCAAUCCACUUGAAGAUGGGCUCGCGGCUGAUUAGCUAGUUGGUGAGAUAGAGGCCCACCAAGGCGACGAUCAGUAGCCGAACUGAGAGGUUGAUCGGCCACAUUGGGACUGAGACACGGCCCAGACUCCUACGGGAGGCAGCAGUCGGGAAUAUUGCACAAUGGGGGAAACCCUGAUGCAGCGACGCCGCGUAAAGGAAGAAGGUCUUCGGAUUGUAAACUUUUGUCGACAGGGAAGAAGAAAGUGACAGUACCUGUGGAGGAAGCCCCGGCUAACUACGUG
rnacentral:rRNA from 1 species